GCCUAUGUCGCUCAGUGGUUAGAGCAUCAGGCAAGUGCACCAAAGGGUUGCAGGUUCAAUUCCCGGUCAUAGGCA
rnacentral:tRNA from 1 species